rfam:Schistosoma rodhaini strain Burundi genome assembly, scaffold: SROB_scaffold0003294
AUCCAGCCGAUGAGUACCAAAUAGGACUAAAUGCGUGUCCUGGAU